rnacentral:rRNA from 1 species
CCUACGGGAGGCAGCAGUCGGGAAUUUUGCGCAAUGGGGGAAACCCUGACGCAGCAAUACCGCGUGUGGGAUGAAGGCCUUCGGGUCGUAAACCACUUUUCUCGGGGACGAUAAUGACGGUACCCGAGGAAUAAGCCACGGCUAACUACGUGCCAGCAGCCGCGGUAAUACGUAGGUGGCAAGCGUUGUCCGGAUUUACUGGGCGUAAAGCGCGCGCAGGCGGUGAAUGAAGUCGAAAGUGAAAGCCCCGGGCUCAACUCGGGAACAGCUUUCGAAACCAGUUCACUUGAAGGUGGAAGAGGGAAGUGGAAUUCCGAGUGUAGCGGUGGAAUGCGCAGAUAUUCGGAGGAACACCAGAGGCGAAGGCGACUUCCUGGUCCAAUCUUGACGCUGAGGCGCGAAAGCUAGGGGAGCAAACAGGAUUAGAUAUCCUGGUAGUCCUAGCUGUAAACGAUGGAUACUAGGUGUUGGAGGUUUUAACCCCCUCCGGUGCCGCAGCGUACGACAUAAGUAUCCGUCCGUCGGGUAGGUACGGCCGCGACGGACGUAAACUACAAAGAAGUAGUACGGACGUAGAGACGAGCCGAACGGAACGACGACGAGGGGAGUAGG